AUUGAACGCUGGCGGCAUGCUUUACACAUGCAAGUCGAACGGUAACAGGUCUUCGGAUGCUGACGAGUGGCGAACGGGUGAGUAAUACAUCGGAACGUGCCUAGUAGUGGGGGAUAACUACUCGAAAGAGUAGCUAAUACCGCAUGAGAUCUAUGGAUGAAAGCAGGGGACCUUCGGGCCUUGUGCUACUAGAGCGGCUGAUGGCAGAUUAGGUAGUUGGUGGGGUAAAGGCUUACCAAGCCUGCGAUCUGUAGCUGGUCUGAGAGGACGACCAGCCACACUGGGACUGAGACACGGCCCAGACUCCUACGGGAGGCAGCAGUGGGGAAUUUUGGACAAUGGGCGAAAGCCUGAUCCAGCAAUGCCGCGUGCAGGAUGAAGGCCCUCGGGUUGUAAACUGCUUUUGUACGGAACGAAAAGCCUGGGGCUAAUAUCCCCGGGUCAUGACGGUACCGUAAGAAUAAGCACCGGCUAACUACGUG
rnacentral:rRNA from 1 species